rnacentral:misc_RNA from 1 species
GUGAAUCUUCAAAAGUCGGCUCUGUGGAUUGUGCUGGUGGAGACACAUGUGCACGUCCGCAAGGUCGCAAACCCCACACACCUGUGCAUCUAUGACUCUGAGUGCCGCUUUGCAUGGCCUUGACCGGCCUGGCGCUCGAGUACUUUCACACACUCUUGAAUGUAACGGAAUGUCUUGUUGUGCAUAACGUACAAACAGAAA